GGUUAAGUGAAUAAGGGCACACGGUGGAUGCCUUGGCACUAGGAGCCGAUGAAGGACGGGACUAACACCGAUAUGCUUUGGGGAGCUGUACGUAAG
rnacentral:rRNA from 1 species